rnacentral:rRNA from 1 species
GACGAACGCUGGCGGCGUGCUUAACACAUGCAAGUCGAACGGAAAGGCCCUGCUUUUGUGGGGUGCUCGAGUGGCGAACGGGUGAGUAACACGUGAGUAACCUGCCCUUGACUUUGGGAUAACUUCAGGAAACUGGGGCUAAUACCGGAUAGGAGCUCCUGCUGCAUGGUGGGGGUUGGAAAGUUUCGGCGGUUGGGGAUGGAAUCGCGGCUUAUCAGCUUGUUGGUGUGGUAGUGGCUUACCAAGGCUUUGAGGCGUAGCCGGCCUGGGCGGGUGACCGGCCACAUUGGGACUGGAAUGCGACCCGGACUCCUACGGGAGGCAGCGGUGGGGAAUAUUGCACUAUGGGCUGAAGCCUGAUGCAGUCACGCCGCGUGGGGGAUGACGGCAUUCGGUUUGGAAUCCGCUUUCGCCUGUGACGAAGUGUUAGUGACGGUAAUGGGUAAAGAAGCUCCGGCUAACUACGUG